CACGUAGGGGACGAGCGUUGUCCGGAUUCAUUGGGCGUAAAGCGCGCGUAGGCGGUCUGUCGCGUCGGUCGUGAAAACCUGCAGCUUAACUGUGGGCGUGCGGUCGAUACGGGCAUGACUGGAGUUCGGCAGGGGAGACUGGAAUUCCUGGUGUAGCGGUGAAAUGCGCAGAUAUCAGGAGGAACACCGGUGGCGAAGGCGGGUCUCUGGGCCGAUACUGACGCUGAGGAGCGAAAGCGUGGGGAGCGAACAGG
rnacentral:rRNA from 1 species